AUGCAACACUCCAGACCCUGAGCGCUGGGCCCUGAAAUCGGGCAAGACACUGUUCAUGGCUGAUUGUUUUACACGUGGAUAUCAGGAGAUUCUACGUAAUUAGCCUCUCUUUAGAAUUCUCUCAAAAUAUCAGGACGCCUGGCAAGCCAGCGCAUUUUCCCUCAGGGCAGCGAGUAGCUGAAGCUGCCUCUUUCGUCUUAGGACUGGUCAGAUUCGCUGAUUUAUUUCCUCCCUGAAGCCCUGGGAUGGGACCACGAUGCAGAGGAGUGACCAGAGGACCUCGGACAGUAAGUUGCUGCACCAUCUGGAGGAGGGGACAGAGGUCGCUUCGCAUCUGGACACCAAGGGACCUUGCGGCUGGCGUUGGGGACGGGAAACCCCAAGCCGUGAUCUGUGUGGAUGGACGGGGGACCAAGCAGGCAGCACUGGAUGCCAAAGAGUGAACACGUGGUGGCAAGAUCGGAAGCCCCCAGAGCCUCAGCGUCGCCAAGGAAUGGAAUGAGGACAGGAGCACAUUGGGUCGUGGUAUCCAAAGCGUUCAAAGUUGUUUCUGAAGAGGAGCCCAGGCCAUUGCUACCAAGGAGAAACCCAAGCUGCAAAACAGAGAGGAGGAAACACAAGAUAUUACCUGUGACGCGGGAGGAGGGAACACUUUCUUCGGGCACAAAAAUCCCUCCGCUUUUGCUCGAGAAGCAAAUACAGACUCUAAGCUGGCUGCAAAGGCUGCCGGGCUGAGCUGAGCUCCUACCUCCUCCGCCCCCACUCCCCCUUUCCGCCCAUGGGCACUGCUUCAGCCCCACGUGCAGCAAGCCCACUUUGGGGCUUUGCCCUUGCCUGGCAUGCUGUGACCUGUGCCUGGGUGGCAGGUGUUCAUGGUUGAGGCCUCAGCUUUAAUGUCACCGCCUCGGAAAAGCCUCCUCUGACUGCGCCAUGCUAUAGGCUCUGGGCUUUGGCCUGACCUGCAGUUUAGGCACGAUGCGAAAUCAUCACAUCUGUUUGCCGACUCGUUUACUGUUUUCUGCCCUAGAAAGUUUCAUUAGAGCAGGGUUCCAACCUCCAUUCUGCACUGUAUUCCCAGCACAGGGCACACAGUUGGUCCUCAAUAAAUGUGUGUUGGAUGGAUGAAGAACUAAAUAA
rnacentral:lncRNA from 1 species